GACGAACGCUGGCGGCGCGCCUAACACAUGCAAGUCGAACGAGAGAUGAGGAGCUUGCUCUUCAAAUCGAGUGGCGAACGGGUGAGUAACGCGUGAGGAACCUGCCUCAAAGAGGGGGACAACAGUUGGAAACGACUGCUAAUACCGCAUAAGCCCACGGCUCGGCAUCGAGCAGAGGGAAAAGGAGCAAUCCGCUUUGAGAUGGCCUCGCGUCCGAUUAGCUAGUUGGUGAGGUAACGGCCCACCAAGGCGACGAUCGGUAGCCGGACUGAGAGGUUGAACGGCCACAUUGGGACUGAAACACGGCCCAGACUCCUACGGGAGGCAGCAGUGGGGAAUAUUGCACAAUGGGGGAAACCCUGAUGCAGCGACGCCGCGUGGAGGAAGAAGGUCUUCGGAUUGUAAACUCCUGUUGUUGAGGAAGAUAAUGACGGUACUCAACAAGGAAGUGACGGCUAACUACGUGCCAGCAGCCGCGGUAAAACGUAGGUCACAAGCGUUGUCCGGAAUUACUGGGUGUAAAGGGAGCGCAGGCGGGAGAACAAGUUGGAAGUGAAAUCCAUGGGCUCAACCCAUGAACUGCUUUCAAAACUGUUUUUCUUGAGUAGUGCAGAGGUAGGCGGAAUUCCCGGUGUAGCGGUGGAAUGCGUAGAUAUCGGGAGGAACACCAGUGGCGAAGGCGGCCUACUGGGCACCAACUGACGCUGAGGCUCGAAAGUGUGGGUAGCAAACAGGAUUAGAUACCCUGGUAGUCCACACCGUAAACGAUGAUUACUAGGUGUUGGAGGAUUGACCCCUUCAGUGCCGCAGUUAACACAAUAAGUAAUCCACCUGGGGAGUACGACCGCAAGGUUGAAACUCAAAGGAAUUGACGGGGGCCCGCACAAGCAGUGGAGUAUGUGGUUUAAUUCGACGCAACGCGAAGAACCUUACCAAGUCUUGACAUCCCUUGACGAUGCUGGAAACAGUAUUUCUCUUCGGAGCAAGGAGACAGGUGGUGCAUGGUUGUCGUCAGCUCGUGUCGUGAGAUGUUGGGUUAAGUCCCGCAACGAGCGCAACCCUUAUGGUCAGUUACUACGCAAGAGGACUCUGGCCAGACUGCCGUUGACAAAACGGAGGAAGGUGGGGAUGACGUCAAAUCAUCAUGCCCUUUAUGACUUGGGCUACACACGUACUACAAUGGCGUUAAACAAAGAGAAGCAAGACCGCGAGGUGGAGCAAAACUCAGAAACAACGUCCCAGUUCGGACUGCAGGCUGCAACUCGCCUGCACGAAGUCGGAAUUGCUAGUAAUCGUGGAUCAGCAUGCCACGGUGAAUACGUUCCCGGGCCU
rnacentral:rRNA from 1 species